UUAGCCAGCAAACCUUAGGCAAAGAGCACUUUAGUCUAAUUCCCCGAAACUGGACGAGUACUCCAAGACAGCCUACAUAGGGCACAUCCGUCUCUGUGGCAAAAGAGUGGAAAGAGCUUUGAGUAGAGGUGACAAACCUACCGAGCCCAGUAAUAGCUGGUUGCCCGAAAAUUGAGUUUAAGCUCAGCUUUUUAGCUUCUUGCCUCACCAACAGUAAAAACACAACCGAUUUCAAGAAACUAAAAAAGUUAGUCAAAGGGGGUACAGCCCCUCUGACCCAAGAAACAACUUUCCCAGGAGAAUAAGGAUCCUAAUAACAAAGGCCAUGUGUUUAGGUGGGCCUAAAAGCAGCCACCCUAUUGAAAGCGUUAAAGCUCAAACACACCCCCGCCACUAAUACCGAUAAACACAUCCUAACCCCUGACCCUUAUCGGGCCUUUCUAUGCAUACAUAGAAGAGACUAUGCUAAUAUGAGUAAUAAGGGGCCAGACCCCCUCCAAGCACAAGUGUACAUCGGAACGAACUCGCACCGAAGACUAACGAACCCAACCAAAGAGGGCAAUGAAUAUCAAACCAAACAACAAGAAAAACAUUCACAACCCCACCGUUAACCCUACACUGGCGUGCCUAAUUGGAAAGACUUAAAGAAAAAGAAGGAACUCGGCAAACCCAUAAGCCUCGCCUGUUUACCAAAAACAUCGCCUCUUGCAAAAACAAUGAAUAAGAGGUCCCGCCUGCCCUGCGAGUAUACGUUAACGGCCGCACA
rnacentral:rRNA from 1 species